UUUGAUGGCGACCGGCGCACGGGUGNGUAACACGUAUCCAACCUGCCGAUGACUCGGGGAUAGCCUUUCGAAAGAAAGAUUAAUACCCGAUGGCAUAGUUCUUCCGCAUGGUGGAACUAUUAAAGAAUUUCGGUCAUCGAUGGGGAUGCGUUCCAUUAGGUUGUUGGCGGGGUAACGGCCCACCAAGCCUUCGAUGGAUAGGGGUUCUGAGAGGAAGGUCCCCCACAUUGGAACUGAGACACGGUCCAAACUCCUACGGGAGGCAGCAUG
rnacentral:rRNA from 1 species